GAUGAACGCUAGCGACAGGCCUAACACAUGCAAGUCGAGGGGCAGCACAGAGGUAGCUUGCUACUUUGGGUGGCGACCGGCGCACGGGUGCGUAACAGGUGUGCAAUCUGUCCAUAAUCGGGGAAUAGCCCAGCGAAAGUUGGAUUAAUGCUCCAUGUGAGUAAGAGAGGCAUCUCUUUUAUUCGAAACGCAAGGAUUAUGGGUGAGCACGCUUCUGAUUAGGUAGUUGGUGAGGUAACGGCUCACCAAGCCGACGAUCAGUAGGGGUUCUGAGAGGAAGGUCCCCCACAUUGGAACUGAGACACGGUCCAAACUCCUACGGGAGGCAGCAGUGAGGAAUAUUGGUCAAUGGGCGAAAGCCUGAACCAGCCAAGUCGCGUGAAGGAUGAAGGUUCUAUGGAUUGUAAACUUCUUUUGUCUGAGGGUAAAAAAGCGGACGUGUCCGUUCUUGCAAGUAUCAGACGAAUAAGCAUCGGCUAACUCCGUGCCAGCCGCCGCCGUAAAAC
rnacentral:rRNA from 1 species